rnacentral:lncRNA from 1 species
UACUCUCAAAAUGUAUAAACCAAAAGUACAGGGUAGAGCUAAUGCAAGUAGGGAAGGUAAAGCUAUCAACCAACUGCUAGGGCGCUAUGCCCUUGCCGCGAUCCAUCGACGAAGGCCCGCUGUCCUGUGUACCUGUACCCCCAGAGCCACACGGGGGUGAGAACUACGAAUAGUUCCCAGUGGGUUCGGCCGCCGACUCCGCCGAUCUACCCACUAGGUCUCAAGCAGGCAUAGAGAGAUAUAUAUAUGCAAUAUAUAUAAAGCUAAGCUGAACGGAAGCAGGUAUGUAA